rnacentral:rRNA from 1 species
AUAACACAUGCAAGUCGAACGCGGAAGAAUCUCUCGGGAUUUUGAAGAGUGGCGAACGGGUGAGGAACACGUAAGAAUCUACCUUUCGGUGGGGGAUAACUUCUGGAAACGGGAGCUAAUACCCAAUAUGCUGUGGAGUGAAAGAACUUCGCCGAAAGACGAUCUUGCGUCUGAUUAGCUAGUUGGGGUGGUAAUGGCACACCAAGGCGACGAUCAGUAGCUGGUCUGAAAGGAUGGACAGCCACAUUGGGACUGAGACACGGCCCAGACUCC